AACGAACGUUGGCGGCGUGGAUUAGGCAUGCAAGUCAUACGGGAUCCAGCAAUGGGUCUAGUGGCGAACGGGUGAGUAUCGCGUGGGAAACCUGCCCUUGAGACGGGGAUAACACCUCCAACGGGGUGCUAAUACCGGAUAAGACCACGGAGUCGCAUGGCUCUGCGGUCAAAGGUGGCCUCUACUUGUAAGCUACCACUUAAGGAUGGUCCCGCGUCCCAUUAGCUAGUUGGCGGUGUAACGGACCACCAAGGCGACGAUGGGUAGCUGGUCUGAGAGGAUGGGUCAGCCACACUGGGACUGAGAUACGGCCCAGACUCCUACGGGAGGCAG
rnacentral:rRNA from 1 species